rnacentral:rRNA from 1 species
GAUGAACGCUAGCGGCAGGCUUAAUACAUGCAAGUCGAGGGGCAGCACGAAUAGCAAUAUUUGGUGGCGACCGGCGCACGGGUGCGUAACACGUAUACAACCUACCUAUAACAGGGGGAUAGCCUUUCGAAAGAGAGAUUAAUACCCCGUAAUAAAUUGAAUGGCAUCAUUUGAUUUUGAAAGCUACGGCGGUUAUAGAUGGGUAUGCGUCUGAUUAGCUAGUUGGUGAGGUAAUGGCUCACCAAGGCGACGAUCAGUAGGGGAUCUGAGAGGACUAACCCCCANACUGGUACUGAGACACGGACCAGACUCCUACGGGAGCAGCAGUAAGGAUAUUGGUCAAUGGAGGCAACUCUGAACCAGCCAUGCCGCGUGCAGGAUGACGGCCCUAUGGGUUGUAAACUGCUUUUGUACCAGAGAAAACCUACUCACGUGUGAGUAGCUGAUAGUAUGGUAAGAAUAAGCAUCGGCUAACUUCGUGCCAG